UCUCUAUUUGUUUCAGUACGAUUCUGCUCUUCCUUUUCAAAUGCUUCACUCGUAACACUUAUCUUAACUGGCUCCCUGUCCUUGUCAAGGUGGUGACCGCCCAACAAUCACUGCUCAAUUUCACUGGGAGCCGUGGUCAAUUUUGCGCGUCUUUCUUUAUUUUGCAUUUGAUGCAAGACUUACGCAUAAAAACAGAGCGUGUAAAAAAUGAAAUAAGGAAAAAUCAAAAGAAGGAAUAAAAGAAUUAUGUUUGAAUAGGAAGUAUUUAUACCAGUAAAGUAAGAAAGUUUAUUUGGGGAUGUAUAUUGACUUUAAUAACGCAUGACAUACAAUUUGGAGUAGACAUUUGACCCUUCAAAACUGUCU
rnacentral:lncRNA from 1 species